rnacentral:snoRNA from 1 species
ACCCUCCCAAUUCCUGACCCCCUGGAUCUGAACCUUGGUUUGAAUGGCUAUCAAUGGGGGGAAAGUCAAACUGAAGUGGACUGGAAUUCUUUGGUGACAGACCAAGUUCCUUUCAAACAUAC